rnacentral:misc_RNA from 1 species
GAUGAAGAACGUAGCGAAAUGCGAUAAGUAAUGUGAAUUGCAGAAUUCAGUGAAUCAUCGAAUCUUUGAACGCACAUUGCGCCCGCCAGUAUUCUGGCGGGCAUGCCUGUCUGAGCGUCAUUUCAACCCUCAUGCCCCUAGGGCGUGGUGUUGGGGAUCGGCCAAAGCCCGCGAGGGACGGCCGGCCCCUAAAUCUAGUGGCGGACCCGUCGUGUCCUCCUCUGCGAAGUAGUGAUAUUCCGCAUCGGAGAGCGAUGAGCCCCUGCCGUUAAACCCCCAACUUUCCAAGGUUGACCUCAGAUCAGGUAGGAAUACCCGCUGAACUUAAGCAUAUCAAUAAGCGGAGGA